rnacentral:misc_RNA from 1 species
GUGGAUUACAAAGGUUCUUCUGGGCUAAGCCUCAGUUGCCAAAACAGCCUUGAAAGGGACUUUGUUGAAAAUUCUAGUAUAAGUUAAAGGACUAAACUAUAUACACAAGAACCUUUCUUAACUGUCAAAUUGUCAACAUGCACAUUUUGUUUUACCAAAAGUUAACACAAGGCGGCCAAGUUAACUAUACAACUAUCCAAACUAAGGAGAAGAAGAUCAAUCAACUGAUGGUGCUGGAGAAGCAAUCUUAGGUGGAGAAGCAAUCUUAGGGACACGAGGUGGAGGCGGCUUCUUGAAGUACUUUUCAUUGAAAGUCUCAGCCUUAUCAGGAUAUUUUGAUCUGACAAAGUUCUCCAGACAUUUCCGGGUGGAGAAAUCUUGCUUGGCACCAUCAGUAGAGACGACGUAGAAGCAUCUAGUAUCCUGGAAGUUCGUAUGUUUACUGACCGUAAUAUAAUCAAGACCAGCUCCCAUCUUGACAGCUUUAUCCGGAUGGUAAUUGAGAACCGUGUCGAUAAUAUAUGACUGGUCAUCAGCAGAUAAGGGGUCACCAUCAUUGUUCACUGUCCCAUGCAUUAUCUUUCUGACUUUCAGCAUGAUAGGAUCAACAUCUGAAAUUAUUUCUUGUUCCUCUGCUGUGAAAAGAUCAAUCUUUUGCCUUGUUGCUGUAAAAUGUCCACCUCUAUUGGAGUCAUCAGCUGAUCUUGCAGGCCGGUUGUUCUUCCACUCUCCACCACUAGCAGAGCCCCAACCUCGCGAAUUUUCCUUAAAAUCUCCUUUUGCAUUACGUCUGCGCUGACCCCAUUGAGGUGUCUUAUCGCUCUCUUCAACGCCAACCUUCUGAGAGUUCCAACCACCAACGUUUGAAGAAUUCCAACCACCAUUUUUUGUAGAGUCAUCAUGUGUUGGUUCAUUUAACUGCCCAUCUCUACUUACACUAGAGCUCCAAUCAUUAACUGACUGGUCAAGUCUUUUAUUGCCUUCAGCAGUCGCUGAACCUAAUCCACCACCAUUAGGAGCUUUUCCCCAAGACGACUCAGAAUUUAACUGUUUGGGCUCAUCCCAAGAACCACCAUCUUUUUCCACCUUCUUCCCCCAUGAGGACCAAGAUCCUGACUGCUCUCCACUCCCAGAUUGCUGCCUGUUAUUCUCAGGUUCAUCAACCUUUUUCCCCCAAG